UUUCUUUGGAGAGUUUGAUCCUGGCUCAGGACGAACGCUGGCGGCGUGCCUAAUACAUGCAAGUCGAGCGGACC
rnacentral:rRNA from 1 species